GACGAACGCUGGCGGCGUGCUUAACACAUGCAAGUCGAACGCUGAAGCUUGGUGCUUGCACUGGGUGGAUGAGUGGCGAACGGGUGAGUAAUACGUGAGUAACCUGCCCUUGACUCUGGGAUAAGCCUGGGAAACUGGGUCUAAUACUGGAUACGACAUGUCACCGCAUGGUGGUGUGUGGAAAGGGUUUUACUGGUUUUGGAUGGGCCCACGGCCUAUCAGCUUGUUGGUGGGGUAAUGGCUCACCAAGGCGACGACGGGUAGCCGGCCUGAGAGGGUGACCGGCCACACUGGGACUGGGACACGGCCCAGACUCCUACGGGAGGCAGCAGUGGGGAAUAUUGCACAAUGGGCGGAAGCCUGAUGCAGCGACGCCGCGUGAGGGAUGACGGCCUUCGGGUUGUAAACCUCUUUCAGCACGGAAGAAGCGAAAGUGACGGUACGUGCAGAAGAAGCGCCGGCUAACUACGU
rnacentral:rRNA from 1 species